rnacentral:rRNA from 1 species
CGGCAACAGCUCAAAUUUGAAAUCUGGCUCCUUCGGGGCCCGAGUUGUAAUUUGCAGAGGAUGCCUCGGGUACGGGUUCCUACCGAGUUCCCUGGAACGGGACGCCAUAGAGGGUGAGAGCCCCGUCUGGUAGGUUACCCAGCCCGUGUGAGGCUCCCUCGAC